GACUUCCAAAAUUGGCAUCGGGACAGAGCAGGGCUGGCGGGAGGCAGGCAAAAGACGGAAUUUUCCUGAAAAAACGGGGGUAUCUGAGGACCCCAAAUUUGGGGAGCUAGUCCAGGACCGUCCUCCCAACAUCCUAGAUUUUUUUGGGAUUUUUUGGGGACCCCGGGACCCCUCUAGAUGGGGGGACCAGGAUCUCAGGGGAGAGUAGCUGAGGCCUUGCUCGGAGUCCCAGGAGAUCCACAGGUCCGGCAUGAACAGUGAGAGGUCAGAGGUGGAAGGCUCAGCAGGAGAGGAGAGGAGGAUCAGCAGAGGUCAUGAGAAGGCCAGAAUCCAGGGUCAGGCUGUCUGGAACAGGAAGUAAAAUGGGCCGAGAUGGAGCGAGCCCCCAGUGUGCUUCCAAGGCCACUCCCACCUCCCUGAAACACCCUGCUACGUACUGAUCCAAUGCCCUGCGCUGUGUAUGAGAGCACCUUCUCUUCUGAAACCCCUAUACAAGGGAGGGGCCCCUGCGGAGACCGUGCCCUGCCAUCCAGGUGAGCCCUUUCUCCCCAACCCCGUCAGCUGUGUGGGAGGAGGAGGACUCCUACCCUGGUCGAAGUUGAGUUUCUUAGCUGGAGGAGUUUCUCCUAGCCCUUCAAUAUCCACCACGUCACUGUUGGCAUCGGAGUCGUUCAGAGCACUGAGUGUCACAUCUGGGAAGGGGGCAUAAGCUAGGUUCUAGGUUCCCCUGACAGCCUCUCCCCCAGCCCCAAGCUUCCCAAAGCUUUGUGCCUCCUCUCCCCUCCCCUCUGCCCCUCUCUGGGAACCUCCACAGGGACAGGAAGAGAGACUGACCCUUCUUUGACCCAGGCCCAAUUCUCUCACUAAACCUCAGAUGGGACCUUUAACCCCUAGGCAGCAACUCCACAGCCCUCACCAGCCUUCUGUUUCUUUAUGGGGGGACCCCCGGCCUCAGGGACACUGGAGCUGCUGGGAGGAGGGGCAGCUGGAGGAGGUGACAAGACACCAGAUGCCACCUUCUUGGGCCCUUUCUUGGGUGACUCAGCUGGAAGGGGGAUGCCAGAAUCUUCAUAUACCUUGCGUUUCACAGUGGCCUUUAUCUGGGCCCUGAAGAAAAGAGAGAAGAGGUUAGGAAAGGAGUCAUCAGAGAGACUAACAGAAGAGGGGACGGGAGGGGAAGGGGUUCUGGGAGUCCCUUCAUAAGAAUCCAGGUCGGGGCCCCAACCCAUUGGUAGGGUUCUCACUUUCUCGAAGUUUUACACUCACUCAGGAUGGAUGGAGUGUGGAGAGUGGAGUCCCUGAACUGAGUAGUGGGAAAGGCCCAUCUCCUAAUUCUCUUCUGGGAGAGACAUCAGGUAGAGCUUGGUGAUUUACAGGUGGAUUGAGAUUUACUGAUCAACUAGUUCAGGGUCACCAUAUCCCUGGAAACACUGCAGUGGGGUCCUCAAACAUUUAUAUAAAUAACCAGGGGACUUCCAUCAUCAAAUACAAUAACAGCAUCUCAGGCAACCUAAAUUCACAUUCUUGGAAGGAUUACCACAGCAUUUUAGGAACUUCUGACCAACUGUGACAAUUCUAUUCUUUCAGUCCUCAAGGGGAUUCUAAAAAACUAGUGACAAAGUAGGGAAGCAGCUGAGCUGGAAAGGAGUUCUGAGGACGAUGGAACCUUGGGUAAGGAGGAAGAAGGCUGCCCACCCGCCCUUUUCUGGCAGCCACCCUCCCUCACACUGUCCGUUCCUUGAUGACACAGCUGAUGUGAUUAAGAUCGUCCCCAAAUCGCUUCACAGCAGCCCUCAGCAUCUCUAUUUCCGUCUCCGUCCACUUCGCACUGUCAGAAGGGGAGAGGGGGGAUAGCAAAAAUGGGAGGGGGGGUGUGGAGCCCGCCCACAGGCUAUGCAUCCCACAGCCAACCAGCCGCCUCCUUCCGAUUUCUGGGACCCCUUCCACGGAUGCAUAAAGAGGUCCUCCGUAAGGGGAGGCGGAAAGCUCUUGAGGCCCUGCGGGAACCGGGAGGACCCCAAUCACAAGAAAUCACAACCACCUCCACCUUAGACACCCCUUUCCACCAUCAACGUUAAACGGCUGCUGUACACAGCACACUGAAACCAACUCGCCAGGAAGGGCUUUUCAAAACAGACCCACCAACACAGCCUGCAGCCGUCUGGGGGAAUUCCAUGAACUGGGGUGGUUGGGAGUGGCGGUGGUUUGUGGUCGACCCGUUCGCAGCAGGGAGAACUGUGAAACAGGAGUCUGGGCUAUGGGCCUGUCUGUAUUUUUAUCUGUCAUUCAUUCCCUCACCCAACGAUCAUUUAUUAACACCGACUCUGUGCUGUGCCACGCACAAAGGGAAACUAAUGUCUGUCCCUGUGCUAGAGAGGGUCCGUGUCUGUGACCGAGUCCAAGCGCCCGCUCUCAGCGUCCACGUCCCAGUCCGGGCUCACGUACCCCGCAGGAGAAGAGUCGGCCACGGGAUGCAGCUGCAUCGUCAGCUCCCCGAGCUUCGUGAAGGCGGCGCCGGCCGCCGAGAAG
rnacentral:lncRNA from 1 species